rnacentral:tRNA from 1 species
GUCACCGAAACAGCUCAGUUGGGAGAGCUUUAGGCUAUAGAUCGAAAGGUCCCUGGUUCGAUCCCGGGCUGCGACA